UACGGAGGAUCCGAGCGUUAUCCGGAUUUAUUGGGUUUAAAGGGAGCGCAGGCGGACGUUUAAGUCAGUUGUGAAAUACAGCGGCUCAACCGUCGGGGUGCAGUUGAUACUGGCGACCUUGAGUGCACACAAGGAUGCCGGAAUUCAUGGUGUAGCGGUGAAAUGCUCAGAUAUCAUGAAGAACUCCGAUCGCGAAGGCAGGUGUCCGGGGUGCAACUGACGCUGAGGCUCGAAAGUGCGGGUAUCAAACAGG
rnacentral:rRNA from 1 species